UACGUAGGCAGCAAGCGUUGUUCGGAGUUACUGGGCGUAAAGGGUGUGUAGGCGGUUCCUUAAGUUUGCUGUGAAAUCUCCCGGCUUAACCGGGAGGGUGCGGUGAAUACUGAGGGACUAGAGUACGGGAGAGGAAAGUGGAAUUCCUGGUGUAGCGGUGAAAUGCGUAGAUAUCAGGAGGAACACCGGUGGUGAAGACGGCUUUCUGGACCGUAACUGACGCUGAGACACGAAAGCGUGGGUAGCAAACAGG
rnacentral:rRNA from 1 species